rnacentral:rRNA from 1 species
GACGAACGCUGGCGGCGUGCCUAAUACAUGCAAGUAGAACGCUGAAGAGAGGAGCUUACUCUUCUUGGAUGAGUUGCGAACGGGUGAGUAACGCGUAGGUAACCUGCCUUGUAGCGGGGGAUAACUAUUGGAAACGAUAGCUAAUACCGCAUAACAAUGGAUGACACAUGUCAUUUAUUUGAAAGGGGCAAUUGCUCCACUACAAGAUGGACCUGCGUUGUAUUAGCUAGUAGGUGAGGUAAUGGCUCACCUAGGCGACGAUACAUAGCCGACCUGAGAGGGUGAUCGGCCACCCUGGGACCGGGACACGGCCCAGACUCCUACGGGGGGCAGCAGUAGGGAAUCUUCGGCAAUGGGGGCAACCCUGACCGAGCAACGCCGCGUGAGUGAAGAAGGUUUUCGGAUCGUAAAGCUCUGUUGUAAGUCAAGAACGGGUGUGAGAGUGGAAAGUUCACACUGUGACGGUAGCUUACCAGAAAGGGACGGCUAACUACGUG